UACGUAGGGUGCAAGCGUUGUCCGGAAUUAUUGGGCGUAAAGAGCUCGUAGGCGGUCUGUCGCGUCGGCUGUGAAAACCCGGAGCUCAACUCCGGGCCUGCAGUCGAUACGGGCAAACUGGAGUACUGCAGGGGAGACUGGAAUUCCUGGUGUAGCGGUGAAAUGCGCAGAUAUCAGGAGGAACACCGGUGGGCGAAGGCGGGUCUCUGGGCCGUAACUGGACG
rnacentral:rRNA from 1 species